rnacentral:rRNA from 1 species
CCGCCCGUCACACCAUGGGAGUUUGUUGCACCAGAAGCAGGUAGCUUAACCUUCGGGAGGGCGCUUGCCACGGUGUGGCCGAUGACUGGGGUG